ACACAUGUGGUAAAACGGUAUUAUGCUUGCCUUCCAAGCAAGCGGCCGGGGUUCGAGUCCCCGCAUGUAUA
rfam:Sphaerobolus stellatus SS14 unplaced genomic scaffold SPHSTscaffold_136, whole genome shotgun sequence.